CUUGACGACCAUAGCAAGGUGGUCCCACUCCUUCCCAUCCCGAACAGGACCGUGAAACGCCUUUGCGCCGAUGAUAGUGGACGUACGUCUGUGAAAGUAGGUCAUCGUCAGGC
rfam:Pusillimonas sp. T7-7, complete genome.